CAUAAGCAACUCCUGUAAGCUAAGCGGGACCAUUUCAGGAUUUUUGUAAAUUUUUAGAAGCUCAUCCGACAACACAAGGCGCUGAAUGUUGAAAGACGAACACUCAAAAAAGAUGUGAUGUAGUGUUUGAACCUUUUGCAAUUGACAAUAAUCACAAUAUGCUGAGCUGACCAUUUUGAGACGAUGAAGAACCAAGGUACAGUAUUAACUUGGACAUCGAGAGUAUUAAACCAUGAACCCACAUUUUCAUUGUGCACACAAUUAUAUGAAUGUCUCCCCCACGCUUCACACAUGCGUUGCCUUAAGAGACUAACUACAUCUGUGUAAGUGCACUCAAGAUUGCAACAGCUUCAGCUGUAAAAAUACUAGCAUUUUUGUCAAUUUUCAUGCCUAUACCGAUAUUUGAAGUAGGCUCAUAAAUAGCAAAAGAAGCCGCUCUAUCAUUCUUGGAACCAUCAGUAUAUACAAAUUUGUGAUCUGACCACUCUGACAACAUAUUAUACACAUCCUCUUUAGAAGACAAUUCUUUUCUCUUCUUUAUAAUGACAGUUAUAGCUGGAAAUUUACUACUAAAUGAACCUUCAUAACAAGGCAGGAUAUGUUUUGAUUGAUGAAUGUUAAUAUUUUCAAUAAAAGCUUUAAAUUU
rnacentral:lncRNA from 1 species